AGAGUUUGAUCCUGGCUCAGGAUGAACGCUAGCUACAGGCUUAACACAUGCAAGUCGUGGGGCAGCGGAUGCUUAGCUUGCUAAGUAUGCCGGCGACCGGCGCACGGGUGAGUAACGCGUACCGAACCUGCCCAUCACACAGGGAUAGGCUUGCGAAAGCAAGAUUAAUACCUGAUGGUCUCAAUUGUAUGCAUGUAUGAUUGAGUAAAGCCUUCGGGCGGUGAUGGAUGGCGGUGCGUCCCAUUAGGAAGUUGGCGGGGUAACGGCCCACCAAUCCUUCGAUGGGUAGGGGUUCUGAGAGGAAGGUCCCCCACAUUGGAACUGAGAUACGGUCCAAACUCCUACGGGAGGCAGCAGUGAGGAAUAUUGGUCAAUGGGCGAGAGCCUGAACCAGCCAAGUAGCGUGCGGGAUGAAGGCCCUUGUGGUCGUAAACCGCUUUUAUCAGUGAAUAAAGUGCACCACGUGUGGUGUCAUUGCAGGUAGCUGAAGAAAAAGGACCGGCUAAUUCCGUGCCAGCAGCCGCGGUAAUACGGAAGGUCCGGGCGUUAUCCGGAAUUAUUGGGUUUAAAGGGAGCGCAGGCGGGAGUGUAAGUCAGCUGUUAAAUAUCAGGGCCCAACUCUGUUAUGCAGUUGAAACUAUAUUUCUUGAGUACGCACAGGGAUGGCGGAAUUCAGGGUGUAGCGGUGAAAUGCUUAGAUAUCCUGAAGAACUCCGAUCGCGAAGGCAGCCAUCCGGAGCGUAACUGACGCUGAGGCUCGAAGGUGCGGGUAUCAAACAGGAUUAGAUACCCUGGUAGUCCGCACGGUAAACGAUGAAUACUCGCAGUUCGGUCUUUAUGGUCGAGUUGUCCAGCGAAAGCGUUAAGUAUUCCACCUGGGGAGUACGCCGGCAACGGUGAAACUCAAAGGAAUUGACGGGGGCCCGCACAAGCGGAGGAACAUGUGGUUUAAUUCGAU
rnacentral:rRNA from 1 species